GCCAGCCUCGGCCUCCCGAGGUGCCGGGAUUGCAAACGGAGUCUCGUUCACUCAGUGCUCAAUGGUGCCCAGGCUGGAGUGCAGUGGCGUGAUCUCGGCUCGCUACAACCUCCACCUCCCAGCCGCCUGCCUUGGCCUCCCAAAGUGCCAAGAUUGCAGCCUCUGCCCGGCCGCCACCCCGUCUGGGAAGUGAGGAGCGUCUCUGCCCGGCCGCCCAUCGUCUGGGAUGUGAGGAGCCCCUCUGCCUGGCUGCCCAGUCUGGAAAGUGAGGAGCGUCUCUGCCCGGCCGCCAUCCCAUCUAGGAAGUGAGGAGCGUCUCUGCCCGGCCGCCCAUCGUCUGAGAUGUGGGGAGCACCUCUGCCCUGCCGCGCCGUCUGGGAUGUGAGGAGCGCCUCUGCCCGGCCGCGACCCCGUCUGGGAGGCUCCUUUAGAGCAGAAUGCACCACUCCAUUGUCCACUCUGUGAAUCCCACUAUCAAUUCUUAUGAAGAGCUGACCAGCCUGCAGCGCUGGGACUUCCAGCUGCCCUCUUCUAAAGAAAUCAAGUGCAAACAGCAGAUGAGAUGCUACAAGGUCGAGCCUCACUGUGUUGCAGACUCCUCACCACCAACCCCUUCCCAG